rnacentral:misc_RNA from 1 species
UUCUUCUUCUUCUUCUCUCCCACAAAAAUUUGGGAUUCAGAAAUUGUAAUUGGACGGAAAAGUUAUGAUGAGAUUGUGUUAUCGGCCGUUGGAGAGGUGUUUUGGAAGGCGGAGUGGUGAUGGACUUUUGUGGCAUACAGAUUUGAAGCCUCAUGCAUCUGGUGAUUUUUCUAUGGCUGUUGUUCAGGCUAAUUCAUCUCUUGAAGAUCAAAGUCAAGUACUUACUUCUCCUUCUGCUACCUAUGUUGGUGUUUAUGAUGGUCAUGGAGGCCCUGAAGCUGCGCGUUUUCUUAAUAGACAUCUCUUUCCUUAUUUAAACAAGUUUCAGAAAGAGCAAGGUUGUUUAUCAUCGGAGGUGAUAAAGAGAGCAUUUAAUGCGACAGAAGAGGAUUUUAUUCGAUUGGUGAAGCAAUCACUGCCUUCUAUGCCGAAGAUUGCUUCAGUUGGAUCAUGUUGUUUGUUUGGUGCUAUUUCGGGUAGUGAAUUAUAUGUAGCUAAUGCAGGAGACUCUAGGGCAGUGCUAGGACGCAGAGGUUUUGACGGGGAGAAAAGUAAAGUGGUUGCAGAAAGGUUGUCCACUGAUCAUAAUGUUUCAUGUGAGGAGGUGCGGAAAGAGGUGGAAUCACUUCAUCCUGAUGAUCCAUCUAUAGUGGUACACUGUCGAGGAGUUUGGAGAGUUAAAGGCAUAAUUCAGGUCUCAAGAUCUAUUGGAGAUGCCUAUCUU